rnacentral:rRNA from 1 species
GUCUGCUUGAAGAUAUAAGGAGUCUAGCCUGCUCUCUGAUUAGUUUUAAGGGCCGCGGUAAUUUGACCGUGCAAAGGUAGCAUAAUAGUUAGUUUUUUAAUUGAAAUCUUGUAUGAAUGGUUGGACAAAAGAAAUACUGUCUCUAUAAUUAUUAUUGAAUUUAACUUUUAAGUGAAAAGGCUUAAAUUAUUUAAAAAGACGAUAAGACCCUAUAAAGCUUUAUAAGUAAAUUCUAUUUAAUUAAAUUAAUUAAUAAAAUUUUGAUAGUUUAAUUAUUUUGUUGGGGAGACAAUAUUAUAAUUUAAGGUAACUGUGAAUAAUUAAUACAAUUAUAAAUGUUUAAGUAAAUAAAAGAUCCUAUUUAAAGAUUAAAAGUUUAAGUUACUUUAGGGAUAACAGCGUUAUUUUUUUUGAGAGUUCAUAUCGAAAAAAAAGAUUGCGACCUCGAUGUUGAAUUAAAAUUUCUAAGUAAUUGCAGAAGUUACUUUAGAAGGUCUGUUCGACCUUUAAAUUUUUACAUGAUUUGAGUUCAAACCGGCGUGAGCCAGGUUGGUUUCUAUCUUUUAAUUAAGUUUAAAUUAUUUUAGUACGAAAGGAUUAAAUAAUUAAAUUUUUUUUUAUGUUGGAAGGUUAUUUUGGCAGAUAAUAUGCGUAGGA